UACGAAGGGGGCUAGCGUUGCUCGGAAUUACUGGGCGUAAAGGGCGCGUAGGCGGAUGUUUAAGUCGGGGGUGAAAGCCCAGGGCUCAACCCUGGAACUGCCUUCGAUACUGGACAUCUUGAGUACGGGAGAGGUGAGUGGAACUCCGAGUGUAGAGGUGAAAUUCGUAGAUAUUCGGAAGAACACCAGUGGCGAAGGCGACUCACUGGCCCGUUACUGACGCUGAGGCGCGAAAGCGUGGGGAGCAAACAGG
rnacentral:rRNA from 1 species